AGCAACCACAGGGGCUGGGACAGAGCAGAAAAGGACCCUGGAAGAACAGAGGGAAAGAAGACUACGGAGACUAGUGAACAGGGGACUGCAAACAGGGGAGCUUGAGAGGGGGAGAAGGAGAUACCCCUGCUGCAUGAACAAGGUACAAGUACUAAUCUUGGGAUACAUUUAAAAAGAAGAAUACAGCAUAUUUUCAAAGCAGAGUGGAAAAAGAGUGGAAGUUUGCAAUCUGUGAUCCAUGGAUCACACUGGCAGUCUGGAGAUCUUGCUGGCCAGCUGAUCCUGGCCCCUCCUCCAGGGUUACACCUACCAAGUCACAUUAAUGACAACUAAAACCACAUGUUUUGCUACUACUGAU